GAAACACCUCUCCUGCAAGAUUGGGCAGGUUUCUGAUCUCACUAAAACAUAAAACAAGAUCAUCUGAAGCCAAGAACUAAAUCUGACCUGCAGAUUUUCAUCACAUUCAGCUAACAGCAUCAAUCGCACCAGUUUGCAAUUUAAAAUGUAGCAAUUUUGCUUGGGCUAAAUAAUCAGGCUGCCUCUAAAGACAGUGAAGAGUGUAAUGGGAUUGUUUCUUCUUUGUGUUUUUAAACAGGAUGAAUUUCCUUUCGGAAGUGUCACUGUAUAUGGAGACAGCCCAUUUGACUGAGGCCAGAUGCUAUGCUGUUAGAUAUCUAAAGUUCGACAAGAAGAACGCCAAAGUUAGCAUUUACUCAUAGCAUUCCAUUUAACGUCUCCUUUUCAAUCAUUUAUAGAAUGACAUGAGUGACUAUAAAGGGAACAUCUGCUGAUGGCUUUAAGAGUCUCGCAGAACUCCCACUUUUGGUGGAUUUCUGACUGUCUGGUACUGUUCCACUCAUCCCAGGAGGAAUGAAUUCAUGAGCAGAGCAAAGACUUCUUUCUUAGUUUAUCUAAAGAAACUCUGUGUCCCUUUUCUGAGUACUAACAACAUCCAGCAGUGGCACAUCCCAGAAACUAUUCCCUGUUCAGGAGGCAGUCAGAGGCCAUGCCAGCAGGUAUCAGUGUUAGACUCUGGACAGAUAAUUAUUUGACAACAUCUUUGAGAAGCGACUAGCAAGGUCAGACAAAGAGAAACCGGAGCCUCAGGAGAGUUGAUGCAUCUAGGUCUUACCUGACAUAGGAAAAUGAACAGGGUGCACAUAUGAGCCUGAAAACUGGGAAAGCCUUUGCAGUUUAGAUGGAGGCACUAUAGAGUGCCUCCAAUUCCUACUGCUUUUUGCCCUCAUGCCAGCCGACAAAACUGAGUUUUUGUUCAUGGUUUGGUCUCUAUUUUAUUGUGGUUGGGGUUUUUUUCUUCUCAUUUGGUUUGAAAGGGUCUGACAGAAUAGGCUGCCUCUGAUUUUCCUGGCUGCAACAGUCUGUGUCAGGUGGAGAGAGGGGAGGAAAAGGAGGAGAUUACAAGUCUAAAUGCAGACUGAAAGACUCCUGACAAAGCACAUGGCUUGCUUGCUGCAAAGGAGCAGAUCUACAGCCAAGCCUCAGAGGUCAAGAAGAGGAUACAUUCCUAGAGACCCAGAGGGAGACUAUGUGAAGGUUGCUGCAACCCAGGAAGGCAGUGCAAAUUGCUGGACUCCAGAGCAUCUGGAAGGAGAGGCUUAUUCUGAAAGGAAAUAGAAAACAGGGGGAAGAUUUGUUUUAAAACAUGUUAUUUGUCUGCAUUAUCCGGAAGAUCUGCAUUUGCUCUACUUUAAGAGGUUGUCUGUGCUCAAAGAAAACAAAUAUUAGAAUUACUUUAGUGUUUUGCGUUAUGCUCAUUCUACAGAUAAGAUUAGUUAGUACUACCCCAAGGCUAAGACCUCCUCAGAGUCACAUCAAAAACUCAUAAAGGCAAAUGUUUAUAUAUGUGCUUUCUGGGAUGGAGGGCCCCUCUUCCUUACUUGGAAAUGACUACAGAAAUAUUAGUCAGUUAUCCUUACUGCAAUUUGUUUGGCCAGUCCUGCUGGUAGAAGGAGACAAGUAGCAACUACAAUGGACUGGAAACCAUAUCAAAAUAAGCUUGCUGUUUAGACUCUUGAAGUUGGUGGCAAAAAGUAGUCUCUAGUUAGUACAAGAGAUUUAACAGCA